GGGGGUGUAGCUCAAUGGUAGAGUGUUUCUCUAGCAUGAAAGAGGUCCUGGGUUUGAUCUCCAGCACCACAG
rnacentral:tRNA from 1 species